ACACAGGAAAAAACGAAGUGAUGACAGGACCAUACACUAUGGCUCUGUGGUACUGAACAAGCAGAUGUUACACUAGUUGUAGUACACAAAACAAUUACACUCUAUAAGAGCUUUAAAUUUCUGAGAUCUUGGAUACUGUCUUAUUUUAUUAUUGAUAAGCUAUUAAGAGUGGUAUAAAUGGUGAACAGACAAUUCCAGUCCUACUUUUUCUAUUCAAGUUCUACCAGUCCUUUAAGAACUGGGAGUGAUCUUAACUCUUCCUUAAAACUUCCUCUAAUAGUUGGGGUGCCUGGGUGGCUCAGUGGGUUAAAGCCUCUGC